rnacentral:rRNA from 1 species
UGAGGUGACAAUAACGCUGUGGAACCACCUGAUCCCAUCCCGAACUCAGAAGUGAAACGCAGUUGUGCCGAUGAUACUGCGGUCAGUGGCCGUGGAAAAGUAGGUAGUCGCCUCUU